rnacentral:lncRNA from 1 species
AGUCUUGCAAAAUUUAGCAUCUGGUGAAAGACAAAUUGACUUAUGUUGACAAAUGUACAUGUUUCGAGAACUCAAUUGUCCAAAUUUAAUCCAAACCCACCCAAGUCAAUGAAGUAAACGAAACCAAACCAAAAUAGCUCUUACAAACAGCUGGUGAAAUAGAUAUGCAAUUAGUAACAUAGAGUAUUUGGUUAAGCAAUGAAAUAAUUACUGACCAGAUAUUUACAUAUGUACUUACAUUUAUGUAGAAGUAAAAUGUCACACAUCAAAUACAUGUGUUUGUGAGUAUGUAGUUUCCAUAUGCAUUCCUUCUAUUUGGUAGUUUACAUUUUGUCUUUGUUACAGCUUUUGAAGUCAAGAGUGACCUCCUUUUCCUAAAAUUAUACUGAUUUCAUAGUCAAUUUCUUCUUUACUCUAAAAGACUUGUCUCAAUCUUACAAUAUCCAUUGCCCUUGGCUCUCACAAAAAUAACAUUUUUCUAAAUCCUCUAUUGGAGUCAUAUAUUUUAAAAAUGCUAACCUAGUCAUGCUGUGUUAUUGACAGACCCCCUGAAUAUUUUUCACUUAAAAAAUAGCAAAUCCUUAACCAGAUGGCUCGUACUUUGGUAGAAGUUUCAGUUUACAUAUUUAGUAGAAUGAGCUCAGGUCGUCUUAAAGUAGGAGAUUUGAAUCGACCCAAGAGUUCGUUAGUUCUCUGAAAGCAAGAAAAUCUAAUAAGAGCUUGAAUUAGGGCAACUUAGGCUACUCUUCCUAUUACUGAAAGGUAAUCACCUUUAAUAGACUUGGUGUAGUAAAAAAGCUGAGAAAGCCUCUUUGCUCUCUUUAAGACCUUAACAGCUGACUUUCCUAAAAUGUGAUAAUCACACCCAAAACUAGAGCCAUAGUCAGUCAUAAUUGAAAUGUGUGACAGGAAUUUAGAAGAGGGGGAAAAGAAUGUUAUUAUUAAACUUCUCUGUGUUGAAAUCUCAAUGUUCUGUUUAGAAUUCAACUCAUGGAGGACCACCACAUCCUCCCCUCAUUUUUUUGCCACUCUCUUCCCCAUUGCUAGCUCUACUGCCCAGUCUCAAAGCCCAUCUCUUCCUGAGCAUGUCUUUGGGGUUCGAAAACUAAGUUACCAAGAAGCCAAUGUGAAAAGACUACAUACUGCGUGAUUACAACUGUAUGACAUUCUAGAAAAGGAACAGGUUCCUGCCUUAUAACCUACUUCCGCACUUAGCAUGACCCAAGGAUCAGCUGAGGAAGCCCUGAUCUUUGGGAUUCAUAUGACGUUGUACAAAUGACACACCAUUUGCAAUGGAAGCCCCCCCGGUCCUCACCAUUUCUCCAGUGGUAUUGGGAGCAAGAUGGAUCCUAAACACUUCUGGCUGUUUAAUCCUUAAACUAUAGUUUUAAUGCUUUCACUGUAGCUUAGUUUAUGGGUUGUUUUGCUAUUCCAGUAUGCAAGCACUUUUUAUUCCUGACAUGGAUCAUAGCCUCCUAUGUUUGAUUUCCACACACACAAAAAAUCACUUAUAGGAGACAAUGUGUGUGGAUUAGACUUACUGCAUAAUCAGUGUUCAACCAGCUGGGUCUCUGGGGCUGGAAUUCAGUUUGUCCCUCACUCAAAGGUGAAGAAGGAUUGGAUAGUUCCUGGGUUAGAAGUUUCUGUGGAAGCAAAUACCUAUCUACCUAAUUAAGGCAGGUUUCUAAACCUAUAAUAGACAUUAGGAUGGGUUUGGACUGUGUAUUAUUUUGCCUAUGAGUUGUUUUCAAGAGAGUCUGUCUAGAUCUCAGAGUCCAGUGAUUCCCAGGCUUCUAAUGAUAUUUGGGUUUCAUUUAUAAUGGAUUGAGUUCAAGAAUAAAAGAAAUUAACAGGUUGUUGGCUAUGUAUUU